rnacentral:rRNA from 1 species
UACGAAGGGUGCAAGCGUUAGUCGGAAUUACUGGGCGUAAAGCGUGCGUAGGUGGUCUCUUAAGUCCGUUGUGAAAGCCCUGGGCUCAACCUGGGAACUGCAGUGGAUACUGAGAAGCUAGAGUGUGUCAGAGGAUGGUGGAAUUCCACGUGUAGCAGUGAAAUGCGUAGAGAUGUGGAGGAACACCGAUGGCGAAGGCAGCCCCCUGGGCUAACACUGACGCUCAUGCACGAAAGCGUGGGGAGCAAACAGG